ACCUUACCUUUAUUACAGAAGAAAAGAAGGGUAAACUAUACCAAAGAGGAGCAGUUGCAGCUGGUGGAAUUUGUGAAGAGACGAAAAGUGGACCUGUUCGGGAAGGCAGGGUAUUGUGGAGUGAAGGUUGAGCAGAGAAAGCAAGGGACUUGGAAAGAGCUUGCUAUCCUACUCAGAAGCUGUGGGGGUCCAGAGAGGGAUUGGAGAGAGUUAAAAAAGAAGUGGCAGGAGCUGAAGAGCAGGGCUCUCAAAUGCACGGCCCACGCCAAGCUUACAGGAGGAGGACCCCCAAAGUCUAUAGAUUUUAUAUCUGAAAAGGUAUUGGAAGCCGUAGCAACCGAAGUGAGGGAGGGGCUGGCGAGCUCCCAGAACGAAGCUGGGUUGGGUGAAUGCACAAGCUCCCAGGAUUUGGAGGUUGCUGCCCUCGCCGAAGACACGAACCAGAGCAUGGUCAAUGAUGAAGAAGACUUGGACUUGGGAGAUGAUAUUGGGGAUAUUCAGGUUCUCUCUUUACUAUUUUAAGUAUUUAAAGCUUCUUUUUUAGGGUCAGCC
rnacentral:misc_RNA from 1 species